CGGCCGGUGGCCCGGACACGACAGAGACUGCCCCUUUGGGACGGUGGCGACCUUACGGUCUCGUCGUGGCCGGUCGC
rnacentral:tRNA from 1 species